rnacentral:rRNA from 1 species
UACGGAGGGGGCUAGCGUUGUUCGGAAUUACUGGGCGUAAAGCGCACGUAGGCGGCUUUGUAAGUUAGAGGUGAAAGCCCGGGGCUCAACUCCGGAACUGCCUUUAAGACUGCAUCGCUAGAAUUGUGGAGAGGUGAGUGGAAUUCCGAGUGUAGAGGUGAAAUUCGUAGAUAUUCGGAAGAACACCAGUGGCGAAGGCGACUCACUGGACACAUAUUGACGCUGAGGUGCGAAAGCGUGGGGAGCAAACAGG